GCCAGGUGCAGUGGCACAUGCUUGUAGUCCCAGCUACUCAGGAGGAUGAGGUGGGAGGAUUGCUUGAGCCCAGGAGUUAUGGGCUGUAGUGUGCUAUGCUGAUAGGGUGUCUGCACUAAGUUCAGCAUUAAUAUGGUGACCGCCCAAGAGCAAGGUCCACCAGGUUGCCUAAGGAGGGGUGAACCAACCCAUAUCAGAAACGGAGCAGGUCAAAACUCCCGUGCUGAUCAGUAGUGGGAUCGCACCUGUGCAUAGCCACUGCACCCCAGCCUGGGCAACACAGUGACACUGUCUCUCUC
ensembl:misc_RNA Metazoa_SRP Metazoan signal recognition particle RNA